rnacentral:rRNA from 1 species
AUUCUGGCUCAGGAUGAACGCUAGCGGCAGGCUUAACACAUGCAAGUCGAGGGGCAUCGGGAGUAGCAAUACUUGCCGGCGACCGGCGCAAGGGUGCGUAACGCGUGAGCAACAUGCCCGUAUCAGGGGGAUAAUCCAUGGAAACGUGGUCUAAUACCCCAUAGUAAUUAUGUAAGGCAUCUUAUAUAAUUUAAAGCUUUGGUGGAUACGGAUUGGCUCGCGUGACAUUAGCUGGAUGGUAAGGUAACGGCUUACCAUGGCUACGAUGUCUAGGGGUUCUGAGAGGAAGGUCCCCCACACUGGAACUGAGACACGGUCCAGACUCCUACGGGAGGCAGCAGUGAGGAAUAUUGGACAAUGGAUGGAAAUCUGAUCCAGCCAUGCCGCGUGCAAGGAAGACGGCCCUAUGGGUUGUAAACUGCUUUUGUAUGGGAGCAAUAAGGGCUACGUGUAGUCCGAUGAGAGUACCAUACGAAUAAGCACCGGCUAACUCCGUGCCAGCCGCGGC